GGGACUGUCUCCCAGCGCUGCGCUUGUAUUUCACCUCCAGCUGUAGCAUGGCUGCCGACGCCCCUGUUGUUGUUGAUGUUUACGAGCCGCUGUCAGUUGACGUGGUAAACUACAACGACGUCACAGACGGCGUUAAAUAACGACCCGUCUCCCUGUAGCCCAACGCUGCUCCGCUACUGCUAGACACACACACACAUACACACACACACACAUACACACAGCUUCUUCACCACAAGAGAGUUAGGGUUCAGAGAGAAGAGCUCAUAUCAGAGUGAGUCAUUACUCAUAAUCCAUGUUGGGGAUUCAAUGAACAGUUAUUGUAUGCAUAUGACUUUACUGGAACAUGAAAGUUGCUCAUGUAUUUGUGUUGCCGUUCUGUCCCUGCAGGAAGGCGAGAGGAAGACCAAGCAUGAUGAGAUCCGUAAAAAAUAUGGUCUUAUCCCAGACACUGACCACCCAUACAGCAAGUUUGAGAAUGAGUAAAGAAGAGGCCUGUUGGAGAGGCCCUCCUCCCCUCCCUCCUUUUCUCCCACCUUCCUCUCCUCCCCACCUUCCCUGCUCUCCUUCCCCUCUCACUUCCUGUAGUCUCUUCCUCCCUGCUCUCUCUCUUCCUCCCUGCUCUCUCUCUUCCUCCCUCUCUCUCUCUCCCUCUCUCCUCUACACCUCCUGCUGACGGGUGUGAACAUAGACUCUGACACACUCAACAGAACAUGUGCUCCUGAGAAAUCAGGCUGAGAACUGCAUCUUUGCCUUGAAUGAUUACAUGCAGAAUAUUUUUUUUCUGUUAGCGACAAAAUGUAAUUAACCAAAAAAAUGAAACGUGUGGAAGGAAUGUUUUGUGAGACGUCUCGGCGAUUCUGUACUCCUUCCUGAGACAACCCCACGAGUGUAUUUGAUUCUCGAAAGUAUUUCUUGUUAGAUUUGACUCCACUGAGUGAAGCUCUUUUUAAAAACAUUUACUGCACAUUACUUCCUAGUUUAAGUCUGAUUUGGAGCUGCUAUCAACUGUAAUGUUUUUUUGCACCUUUAUAUACGACACCUCAUGUAGAACAGAUGGUUUGGGAUGUUCACUAUUCUCUGUGCUUCUGACAACUUUCCUAAUAAAAUGUUUGUCUUUUAA